AAUGCAGGAUGGCCAGUUAAACUUGCGUUUCAGACAAUGAAUACUUGCUUAGUAUAAUUGUCUCCCAUAUGUCCUGUGCAACAUUUGGGACAUAGUUAUACUAAAAAUGACUCUCUGAUUAUCAGAAAUUCAAAUUUAACUGGACAACCUGUAUUUU
rnacentral:miRNA from 1 species